CAUGCAAGUCGAGGGGCAGCAGGCCGACUCUUCGGAGUUGGUGCUGGCGACCGGCGGACGGGUGCGUAACACGUAGCUACUUGCCCUACAGUGGGGGAUAACCCGGGGAAACCCGGGCUAAUACCGCAUACACCCGAGAGGGGAAAGGCCGUAAGGUCGCUGUAGGAUAGGGCUGCGGCGUAUCAGCUAGUUGGUGGGGUAACGGCCUACCAAGGCGAUGACGCGUAGCUGGUCUGGGAGGAUGAUCAGCCACACUGGAACUGAGACACGGUCCAGACUCCUACGGGAGGCAGCAGUGGGGAAUCUUGGGCAAUGGGCGAAAGCCUGACCCAGCAACGCCGCGUGGAGGAAGAAGCCCUUCGGGGUGUAAACUCCUUUUGCAGGGGAAGAGAGAGACGGUACCCUGUGAAUAAGCUCCGGCUAACUCCGUGCCAGCAGCCGCGGUAAUACGGGGGGAGCGAGCGUUACUCGGAAUCACUGGGCGUAAAGGGUGCGUAGGCGGCUUAGUAAGUUGGAAGUGAAAUCCCACGGCUCAACCGUGGAACUGCUUCCAAAACUGCUAAGCUAGAAUCCGGGAGAGGCCGAGGGAAUUCCUGGUGUAGGGGUGAAAUCCGUAGAGAUCAGGAGGAAUGCCGAAAGCGAAGGCGCUCGGCUGGAACGGUAUUGACGCUGAGGCACGAAAGCGUGGGGAGCAAACAGGAUUAGAUACCCUGGUAGUCCACGCCCUAAACGAUGGGUACUAGUGGUUGGGGGGAAUAGUCCCCUCAGUCACGCAAGCUAACGCGAUAAGUA
rnacentral:rRNA from 1 species